rnacentral:rRNA from 1 species
UGAGGAAUAUUGGGCAAUGCCCGAAAGGGUGACCCAGCAACGCCGCGUGGAGGAUGAAGGUCGUAAGAUUGUAAACUCCUGUUAGAGGGGAAGAAUAACUAAGUUUGGAGCUUAGUAUGACUGUACCCUCAGAGAAAGCCCCGGCUAACUACGUGCCAGCAGCCGCGGUAAUACGUAGGGGGCAAGCGUUGUCCGGAUUUACUGGGUGUAAAGGGCGCGCAGGCGGAAUGGAAAGUCAGUGGUGAAAUCCUACAGCUUAACUGUAGAACUGCCUUUGAUACUUUCAGUCUUGAGUUCGGGAGAGAGAGACGGAAUUCCAGGUGUAGUGGUGAAAUACGUAGAUAUCUGGAAGAACACCAGUUGCGAAGGCGGUCUCUUGGUCCGAUACUGACGCUGAGGCGCGAAAGCGUGGGGAGCAAAC